GACGAACGCUGGCGGCGUGCUUAACACAUGCAAGUCGAACGAUGAAGCCGGAGCUUGCUCCGGUGGAUUAGUGGCGAACGGGUGAGUAACACGUGAGCAAUCUGCCCUUGACUCUGGGAUAACUGCGGGAAACUGUAGCUAAUACCGGAUACGACACCUUGGGGCAUCCCAGGGUGUGGAAAGAAUUUCGGUCAAGGAUGAGCUCGCGGCCUAUCGGCUAGUUGGUGAGGUAAUGGCUCACCAAGGCGACGACGGGUAGCCGGCCUGAGAGGGUGACCGGCCACACUGGAACUGAGACACGGUCCAGACUCCUACGGGAGGCAGCAGUGGGGAAUAUUGCACAAUGGGCGAAAGCCUGAUGCAGCAACGCCGCGUGAGGGAUGAAGGCCUUCGGGUUGUAAACCUCUUUUAGCAGGGAAGAAGCGAAAGUGACGGUACCUGCAGAAAAAGCACCGGCUAACUACGUGCCAGCAGCCGCAGUAA
rnacentral:rRNA from 1 species